GUGAGGUAGUGUUCUUCAAAUGGCUUCAGAGAGUAUUAGCACAUCUGUUUAAGAUACACAAUUUUACAUUUGUUCAUUGGGUAUACAACGAGGUUAACAUCAAUGAAUCACAUAUGAUGAUAGAUCCUAGAAGGGAAGGGAACCUGUCCAUGCCCUUGCCUUGACUCUUGAAUGUUAGUUACAGAUGAGCAGCUGACAACUUACUUCCCAGUCAGUGGUUCUCCAUUCCUAUGAAUGAUCUCUUGGACACCCUUUUAGUAGACACCUAUCUGAGAAUUCUUCUGAGAGAGAAUGAUACCAAUAAAUCCCUGAAACAGGACUCCUCAGACAAGAGCCUCUUCACCUACCUAUAUUCCAAGAGCUACCACUGAAGGUGAUGACCACAAAGACGAGAUGCAUUGUUAGAGUUGGUGCCAUUCCUUCUACCACCAGCUUCACCAAAACAAUGAUACAGUCUUCCUUAUGUAUGGAGACUCCUCUCUUUCCUGGUUUGCAGCGGAUACCUCCUGCAGAUAAGAAAUGCUUAACUGAGAAAUGCUCAUGUUGCGAUAUCAUCGAUGAGACUUUAAUUUGGGCAUGGUGACUGUUUCCCUUGCUGCCACUUGACUCAAUCCCAGGAGCCUCCUCAGUAGAGGAUAUAAUAUUACACAAGAUGCUCAAAAUGGUGGAAUUGCUCAGUGCUCCCAUAAAUAUACAUUUACAAUUUUCAUUUGCCACAUGAUAAACUGAAAAAAAUAGAAUAUUUAAAAAAGAAACUCUGCAUGAUUUUUUCAAAAAUUCAAAACAUAUUUACAUAACAUAUAUAAAUUAAAUGUCUUUUCUUUCAAAUCUGUCCCUAUAGUUUUUCUCUAUUAAGGGAGUUGUGUGCAUUCUUUUAGUGGAUAGGUGCACACAAACACACACAAACUAUUUUGGGGACGGGGAACUGCGAGUGUGGUCAUAUUGUAACAUAUUUUCCUGCAAAAUGCCUUUCAGUGGUCUUUUCAAUGGUCUUUUUCUUUUUCAGUAAUGCAUACACAUUUGUGUCAUUUGUUGAAUGACAGCAUGACUGAUUUGUAGAUGAAAUAUAAUUAAAUGUUUUAAACAUUUAUUAUUCAUAGUUAUUUAUGUUAGUACCAAAUUUCUGUGCAAUGAACCUCCCUAUAUAUUAAUAAUUUGCAUUUGUCUAUUAUAAUAAAUUACUUAGUAGUUGCUUUACUGGAA